UACGGAGGGUGCAAGCGUUGUCCGGAAUCACUGGGCGUAAAGGGCGCGUAGGCGGCUCAUGAAGGCUGUGGUGAAAGUCCGGGGCUCAACCUCGGAUCGGCCGUGGCGACUCGUGGGCUGGAGCACUGUAGAGGCGGGUGGAAUUCCGGGUGUAGUGGUGGAAUGCGUAGAGAUCCGGAAGAACACCAGUGGCGAAGGCGGCCCGCUGGGCAGUGGCUGACGCUGAGGCGCGACAGCGUGGGGAGCAAACAGG
rnacentral:rRNA from 1 species